UGACUAAGAGCUGGGUGUUGUAAGUGUGGCAUUCUGACUUUAACCUACCAAAAAGUGCUGGUAGCUGGUGUUCAGGUUUACACACCUAACUCUGGGAAACAACAACUUAGGGUAAAAAACAAACAAUAACAAAACCAAAAUAAAAUAACAAAACCCAAACAAAACCAAAAAACCCCAAGCCAACCAAACCAAAAACCCCACACCACACAAUCAACUGGAGUAAUUUAUCUCUUUUUUUUUGAGGAAACCAUCUCUCUUGGCAUCAAGCCUGCUCUGGGAGUGGCUCCUUGUGCUUGCUUUGGCUUCAAACUGCCAGAGCAUGUAGGGCUUUUCCUUAGGAAGUCUGUAUUUCCUGCUGGGCCAGAUGAGCCAGAAGAUCAAAGGUGUCAGUCGCUUACCCUUCUCUAGUGAUGCUUUGUCUGUCAGUAGUUAUUUCUGGUCUGAUUUCCCGCCCCCCCCCACUCCCAUGGGUGGAACUUGCAGACACAUUAAGUACAAUUAAGUGCUAGACUUACCAAAGCAUACGUAUUAGGCUAUUUUGGCUGAGGUCAUAUUUUUCAGCUGACCAAAGUAGUGCUCUGCAGAAACCCCUGCAAUGUUGACUGUGCUCAUGUGAAGUCACUCUAGCAAGAGUAACUCUAAAGAAAACAAAUUGUGUAUCAUUUCGCUGCUUUCUACUGGUACGUUGUCAAUCACAAUUGUUACUCCAAAUUUAUCAUCUAAAAUAAAUCACAGGAAAGAGUAGGCUGUACCAGGUAAAUCUGUUUGGAGUCAUGGGGACUGACAUAUCUCAAUAGUUUCUGUCCUUUUUUUUUUUUUUUGCUGUGUUUCUCAAGCUUAAACAAUCAGCAGAGUGAGACAGAAGCACACAGAAUACAUAUGAAUAUACAAACAUUUAGAGCUCUUGGUUCUACUAAUGUGAUGUUAGAAGAGCUAUGUGAAGUCAAUGAGGGCAGUGUUCAGGAAAUACAUGAUUGAUAUCCUUUGACAGUGAAGUCAUAAAAUCAAACUGUAGCAGUGCACUUUCCUCCAUAAACCUGUCUUUUGAUAUGAAAGAGUGCUAUUCCACACUCAUUAGAGAGACCUUCUCCACUUCUAAGUUACACUGUGCUCUAAAAUUUUGUCGAAGGUAAGAUGACCAUAAUAGGCAGAUAUUUUCUUUCUUCAAAUGCAUUGUUUUACUUAGAAGACACCAAUCUAGUUUAGUAAGUUGAUUAUAUAUUUUGUCCCUUCUAGAGUCAGUAGACUGGUCCUGCAAAUACUUGAAGUCUGUGGUCAGCAGGAAGCAAGGAAGAAAAUGUAUGGGCAGAAAAACGUACAGCAUUAGGUCUUAAAGUCAAGCUACCACUAAUAAGAAAUAGACAAAGGCUAGAGCUGAAGAUCAAGGAACUGACAUAAGGGCAGUUUGCUAGAAAGACUUGAUACAAGUAAGACUUCGAGAUGUAACGGCAUAUUCCAUUGCAAAACAGAUUACAGAAGACUGUGAAGGAGCUAACACUAUUAAGAAUUUGAGCCACAACAACAAGGGAUGUCAUCUGUCAUUGAUCUUGUGUGUUCUGUCACCACUGUGGAAAGUCACUCUGAGGUAAGUAAAAGGUGAUGUCCUCUCCUCCCUCCAAAACCAGUCCUCUGGUAGGCACAUAAGAAUACAGUCUUUCCUCAUUCUAGCUGCUCAAUCUGAAUAACAAGAUGGACGAAAGCUCGAGAUAGUU